rnacentral:rRNA from 1 species
GACGAACGCUGGCGGCGUGCCUAAUACAUGCAAGUCGAGCGGACGAAUCGAAAGCUUGCUUUUGAUUCGUUAGCGGCGGACGGGUGAGUAACACGUGGGCAACCUGCCCUGUAGACGGGGAUAACACCGAGAAAUCGGUGCUAAUACCGGAUAACACGAAAUGUCGCAUGACGUUUCGUUGAAAGACGGCGCAAGCUGUCGCUACAGGAUGGGCCCGCGGCGCAUUAGCUAGUUGGUGAGGUAACGGCUCACCAAGGCGACGAUGCGUAGCCGACCUGAGAGGGUGAUCGGCCACACUGGGACUGAGACACGGCCCAGACUCCUACGGGAGGCAGCAGUAGGGAAUCUUCCGCAAAGGACGAAAGUCUGACGGAGCAACGCCGCGUGAGCGAAGAAGGCCUUCGGGUCGUAAAGCUCUGUUGUUAGGGAAGAACAAGUAACGCAGUAACUGGCGUUACCGUGACGGUACCUAACGAGAAAGCAACGGCUAACUACGUG